GUUUCUCCUCUGCAAUGCCCCUCUGCCAUGCCGCCCUGCUUUGGAGCCAGUUGAUUUGGGGCUGAAUCCUCUACAAACUGUGAACCGUUUUUUGCAUGUGUUGCUGUAUAUGUGCUGCCUUGCUGCAUGCCCAAAAGCAAUGUGACCGAACGGUCAUGGACUGACAGCUCCGAAACUGCUUUUAUCCUUCUGUACCAUGCCAGGCACCGGGAGCACAAAGAAACAAGGAACACUUCUGUCCUCAUGGAGCUCCUGGUCUAGAAAGACAGACAUAACAGGAAUUAAGGACUAUGAUGCAGGAGGAAUGCGUCCCAGAAGUGACUAACUGUCGGCAGAGUUACAGGUCCUACAGCCAGCAGGGUAAAGGAGAACUCCAAGGAAAUGAUUACAGAUAAGGGGACAGAGGCCCACUAACAGCACGGAUAAGACAGGAGGCACAGGCGUGAGCUGCAAGGGACUCACAUGUGUGCACCCAGCUUGUCCACAGCCUGCGGUAGCUUCCAGCAAGUGUCUUCACAAGGCAGAGGAGGACAAGUUAAAACUUGAAGAGAAGCCACGUACAACUUGAAGAUCUCUGCAAAAUUUAAGGGACGUUACAUCACUCACACAGCAUAAACCGGGACAGUCCAUCUGAGAGGACCAGAAGAGAGAGAUUAUGCCAGGGAGUCAGUCACAGGCCCGAGGCAGAGCCAGAGCCAGUGCUGCUAAGCGUCUGUCACGAACCUUUGGGGUGUGACCCUUGACAACACUUGAUACAACCCACACUUCUUUAUCUACUCAGGGGGAGAAGUGUUGGGUGGCCAGACUCAGUGCUAGCAGAAUUCCUUAUAAAGAGAGAGAUAACUUCCAUAUAUGUGGUUCUUCUUUUUGGAGAGGGUGGGCGUGAAGAGAGUUUUUAAAAGACCUUUAAAUUGAUGUGCUAUACUUGCUAAUCCAUGACCUAAAGAGAAAUACAUCUCCACACAUUCUACCUCGAUAGCUUGCUAAUUUUCAGAAAGAAUUACAUGACAAAUAUAGCUGAACUCUUUCUAUUAACAUUAUAGUGAGGUUUAAAACAAGGUUUAACUUUCCAGCACCUAUCUAUCUCCAAGUUCAGGGUGCUUCCCCGAACAACAAACUAUACCUAACUAAAACUAACAACUAACCAUACACUCGAAGGAGUCUGGUAAAUCCAAGCUGAGCAGCUCUGACAUUACAUUCCGGAAUCCACCAUCUUCAAGGCAACUGUAGCCUCGGGCACA